CUGUAGAGCCUGCAAGCCACAACUACUGAAGCCUGCACGCCUAGAGCCUGUGCUCCGCAACAAGAGAAGCCACCGCAAUGAGAAGCCCGCACACUGCAAUGAAGAGUAGCCCCCCUGUGCCGCAACUAGAGAAAGCCCACGCGCAGCAACGAAGACUCAAUGCAGCCAAAAAUAAAUGAAUAAAAAAAAUAAAUUUAUAUUAAAAAAAACCAACUCUUCAUCUACCUCUAGGUCCAUAGUUGUGCAUUUUACAUUUACUUUAUGGUUAAUUUUGAGUUAAUUUUUGUAUAAAUGAGGUUUGGGUUUAAGUUUUUUUUUUUUUUUGCUUAUGGAUGUCCAAUCACUUCAUCACCAUUUGUUUGAAAAGACUAUCCAUCCUCUAUUGAAUUUAUUUUGUUUCUCUGUCAAAAUCAUAUUUUUUGGAGUUAUUCCUGGGUUCCACAUUCUGUUCCAUUGAUCUCUGUGUCUAACUCUCCGUCAAUACCAGGUACUGUGUCAGGAGCUCUACAUUCAUUACUUACAAGUCUUACACCAGCUACAGGAUUUUUGCUCCAACUUUACAGAAGAGGAAGUGAAACUCUGGUACAUAAGUGACUCCAAGCCAAAGCUGGAGCUGUGAUUGAAAAGCAGGUGUCUUGGUGCUGGAGACACAAAGAUGAGAAAGACAGGACAUCUGGCUUCAAGACAUCCAGGAUCUGGCCAGUGAAGAACAGAAGCCUCCGAAGGGUGGUCCUUGUCAUCCUUCUCCUCUCCCUGCUCCCUCCCCCACGGCGGCCUUGGCUGUGGCUCACCAGUGCCUGAGAACAACCUCCAGCGGGCCUGACGUAGAGUCCCCGGCUGGGUGAGAACCUUGCAUCCUUGCGCCUCUGGGAAAGAUCAGACUUGCUUUAUGAGGAUUUGCUUCAUGAGACCUCGAGGUGCAAAGCAAUGGCAGCCCUGUCCCGUCCACAAACGCAAGGAAAGUGACACUUUCCCCAGAAAAACGUCCCCAGAGACAAUUCUCUGAGCGGACUCAGGUUAUCAGGAAGCCGGCCAUUUCUUCUGGAUACGUGUCCUCUCAUGCAUCAGACGCAGCCCUGGGGGACGGUGUUGAGGGGGGCUUCUCGGAGAGCAGAAGCAGGCUGUCAUGCUGGCUGACCAAGAGGUUCCCUCCCCAUGUCCAGGGGGCAGGACAGGUGCCUGGGGCUUUGUUUUCCUUCUCUUCUGCAGGAGGAUCGAUGAAGGCCGUGUCCUGUUCUGACACCACCCAUCAGAAGCCUGCAGGUCCACAGGGAGCCUGGGGCAGCCUGAGGGAGAGACGGCACUUCAUAUGGAGAUGGGGGCUGGGCUGAUUCAGGAGUGGGGGAGAUGGCGGCUGGGGGUGCUCCUGGGGCCACUCUUUCUGUGGCUUAGACACCCUGGGGAGGCCUGGGGGAGCCUGUGUCUGUGCCUCCUGCUCCCUCAUCUCUCCAGGCCCCGGUUUCCUCGUGAAAGACCCUUGGCCAGUUCUUUCCGUGUAGCUGAGCACAGCUGGCACCUCUCUGGAACUGAGUCUCAGGCUCCAGAGCCGAUGGUCCUUGGGGUGACGCAGGUGUCGGUGGACAACUGGACUCUUGGGCAUUUGAUCAGCAAGACCCAGCUCUCUGAAUUCGCGUCCCCCUGCAAGGCCAGGACAGAGCUCACGGCCUUGAAGUUCCACACAUGGCUCCUGGUCACGUAGGGGCCUUUUGAGAUAUUCUUGGGUCAAGAACCAACAAUGUCAAAGAUGACACCCCUCGUCUGGUCCCCGGGCCCUGGGGUGCAGGGUCUGAGCUAAGAGUUUGGAUGCCCCCAGAGACUCUUCCUCUUCUCCAACAGUGAGGGGCCUUUGCAGGUGUGGCCCAGGCCUCCAGGGGCCAUGCUCGAGGCUACAGCAGGAGCAGCAAAGGAACGGGGCGAGUGGUUCAGCAAGGCUGCCUGCAGACCACGCGGGGAGGCAAGUUGGCUCUGCACGCCCAGGCCGAGUGUGUCUUUUAGUGGCAAACUGCAAGCCUAGAAGGUGGCUGAAGAGGAAGGAGGCUGAUUGCAAAGACAAUGCAGGGAAUUUGCAUUUUUUAGGCACUUUCUGGUUUCUACAAGCCUUCUUGCUACCAUGAGUUCAUCUGAUUCUUAUAAUGUCCAGUAACAGGUGGUGGACCUGAGCUUCCUGGAGAGCUGAUGAGGGAGGCUUUCCCCGAGCAUCAUCAUGAAUUCCUGGACCGAAGCAACUUCAUCAUGUUUCUACUCUUUCCAGUGGUGGUCCUCACUGUCCCUCUCGUCCUGUAGGAGCCUCGUCCAUCAGCCCAGAAGCCCUUCUGACACUACCCUCGUGGUCUUUGAAGAUGCCUUGUUUCUUCCAGGACAAGAUGUGAUACGAUCUUUGUGCAUACUUCCUGCCCCAGAUCUGGCCAUGCUCUUAGACACCGGAGUUUGGGGGCGAACAGGACCUGCUUGCAGCAGGGGAUGGUGGCAGGGGCUUGCCUGGAACAGAAGAUGAGUGGUCAUUGCUGGUGAAAUAAAGAGGAGAGUCCAGAUGGAACUGCCUGGAAACAUCACAUCCUCUCCCUGAUUCAGAGCUGGCUCACUGAACCCCCACCCAUCACCUCACCCCCUUCUUCCUCCACUGCACUCAUUUCUCAGGCUGCUCUGAAGCCGGGAAACUGCAAGUAUAGAGCUCAGCCUUAGUAAGAUGCCAGCACGUGUCGAGGGAAGGUGUUCUUCCCAACUGAAAUGACAAAGUUUCAAGAAGAGAGGCAUUUGGUCCAGCCUGGAAUAUGGAUGUGAUGCCUGGAGCUGCAGCACCUAUUCUAUGACCAUAAGGCUGAAACCACACAAUAAGGAUGGUGGAGCAGGGAGAGGCUGGAGCCUGAGUACCUGAGAAUGCCUAGAGCUGAUGCACCAGCCCUGGACCACCUACCUCAGGACUCCCUGUUAGAGAAGCAGCUGCAGCAGCCAUUUUCUCCUUUGAGCCCCUUGCAUCCCAAUGCUAUUCUGAACUAUCUUCUUUUGGGGGCUAAUAUCAUGGCCUUCUGUGGUUGCUUCCAUUUUCUUGGCAUCAUAAAGGCUGAGAAGAGAGACUGAGUCUGUUCCCUGAGCAGGUUCCUGACGUCUUCUCAGCUUCUCCCCACCAUCCUCAACCACUGGGUAACAAUGGCAGAAUUGCUAGGAUCUGGUAUUUGCAGAAAGCCCCCGACAGCCUCUACCGUCGGGCUGGAAGGUAGGACAGUGCCCCACAGGAACCCUGGGGUAGGCUUCCUCUGGUGAUGGCUCCCCGGACAAUGUCUGCUCUGUUCCUCCUGCCCAUGGCAGGUCCUUUCAGGGAGAUGCUGGGCACUAAUGGUGGCCAGGAAGGGAGCCAGUCAAGGCCUUUAGGUUUAUCUUAGAAGCAACAUUUAAGGAUCAGGGGACAGGCCUGGCUUUGGGACAGGCAAUGUCAUUCCCAGGGGUGACUGAGGACUUCAGUGUGUGGAAGUGACCAUAGUGGUCACUUCAUAAUUAAGUGGUGAUGUCCUUACAUGUGUCAAAUGAAAAGAGACCAAAUGGGAGAGUGGGCGGAAAGGAAGAGGAA